CCUCCGCCAGCUCCAGGACCUCGACGUCACCUGCGCGCUCCAGUCCGACCUCGUCAAGCUCGCCUACUCCUUCGACCGCCUCAAGCCGCCCUCCAACCCCGCCGGCGUCCCCGUCGCCCGCUCCUCCUCCUUCUCCGUCGCCUUCCGCGUCUCCGAGCCCGGCCAGUACACGCUCGUCUUCGCCAACUGCCUCAACGGCGGGGACCUCAAGAUCUCCAUGGACGUCAGCUCCGCCAUGUACAACGUCGACCCGGCCACCGGCCAGCGCGCCUACCUCUCCGUCGGCGCCGCCGCUCUGCCCUCCAUCUACUUCCUCUUCUGCCUCGCCUACGCCGCGCUUGUGGCCGCCUGGGUCUCCAUACUGCUGCGGAAGCGCGCCGCCGUGUUCCGGAUCCACUACUUCAUGCUCGCCGUGCUCGUGCUCAAGGGCUUCAACCUCCUCGCGGAGGCCGAGGACAAGUCCUACAUCGAGCGCACCGGCACCGCGCACGGCUGGGACGUGCUCUUCUACAUCUUCAGCUUCCUCAGGGGGAUCUCGCUCUUCACGCUCAUAGUGCUCAUCGGCACCGGCUGGUCCUUCCUCAAGCCCUACCUGGCCGACCGAGAGAAGAAGGUGCUCAUGGUGGUCAUCCCCCUGCAGGUUGUGGCCAACAUUGCACAGGUCGUGAUCGAUGAAUCUGGGCCGUAUGCCCGAGACUGGGUCACCUGGAGGCAGGUGUUCCUGCUGGUGGAUGUUGUCUGCUGCUGUGCCGUGCUCUUCCCGAUCGUGUGGUCCAUCAAGAACCUCCGAGAGGCUGCCCGCUCUGAUGGGAAAGCGGCGGUGAACCUCAUGAAGCUCACCCUCUUCCGCCAGUACUACGUGGUUGUCAUUUGCUACAUUUACUUCACACGAGUUGUCGUGUAUGCGCUGGUGACCAUCACCUCAUACCGGUAUCUCUGGACUAGCGACAUGGCUAGGGAGGUUGCCACCCUAGCGUUCUACAUGUUCACCGGUUACAGGUUCCGGCCUGAGGUGCAUAACCCAUACUUUGCGAUUGACGACGAAGAGGAGGAGGCUGCUGCUGAGGCACUCAAAUUGGAUGAUGAAUUUGAGCUAUGAGUGCUGUCAAUUGGUGGCCUUUUUCCUUCACAGUGGCUAUACGGGUGUUAUAUGUGCUUCCACAGGACAAACGCUUUCGACAAGACAAAUGUGAUAGACUGGUAUCCAUAUCCUUUUGUUUUUCAUUUCAACUUAGUUACAUUUUGUCCUAGUGUAAUUUGGUACCGACGACCCUGUGUGUGUGUGAAGCAAGGCAACAGCUUGAUUGUACCUAAACUUAAUCUACAAUUGUUGAGAUGAGAUGUUCUUCAUUGUACCUCUGUAGCUACUGUUGUAUCUAGAUGUUUACUCUGUGUACUUGGUAAAAGAAGUUGACUAUCAUUCAGUUUGUUGAUUCAUAUGAUGCUAAUUGUAGCUCUUUGUUCCCACUUAUUCUACAUUACCUGUAUACCAGUCCUGCUGCUCUCUUUUCCUGUAGGAUCCUUUUGUCUUAGAAUAGGGAAACAAAGUUUAAUAUAAUGGACUCGGUAGUUGGGGACAUAUUUUCAAAGUUCAACACAAAAACUAAAGGCUGAAACCUAGAGCACUAUAUUAAGUUGCAAAUGUUGUUUGUAAUUUGGACAGUUCCUACCUAACUGGUUUCAUUUAUAAGCUUCACCGUGAUGCUUGAAUUCCACCUCUAAAUUCAGUACCCUGCCUAGUUAGAGUACAUCUGCACUUUGGCAUUUUGUGGUUUGGCUUUGCCAACUAGGACCCUCAUGAAGAUACAUCAGCAAACAAACAAACAAAAAUGACCCACCAAAUAUGUAAUUUAACUUCUGUUAGGAGAUUUUGACAUUUCAAUUUGCACUUAUUUAGUUAUUCUACAGUUUGCCAUAGUCAAAAUACUUGGAACAGUUGUGCUGGGUUAAGCUGGAAGUACUAUAGUAGUAUACUUGCACCUUUACCAGUCUUGGGUUUUAUCAUUAUUGAAAGUUAAGCUGGGAUAUGGCCAAUCGGGGGUCUGACGUCAUGCUACAACCCAUUGCAGCGUUGAUUUUUCUACCCUUUGGCUAUUUCUCUAUGGCAAUCAUAUUGUGCUACAUCUGAUUGCAGAGUUGAUUUUUCAACUCGUUGGCUAUUCUCUUUGGUCCUUCUGUUAGUUAAUUUAUAAGCUGAUAGCUCGAUAAGUAGCAGUGGAGGCAUAGAUUUUUGUUCCACUGAGAGAGAGUGGGAAGUUGUAUUUAUGUUUGAGUAUAUUUGCUGGAUGUAUUUUUUUCAGGAUGAUUUACAGGUGUAUUACUUGACAAUGGUAGUCAAAGAUGCUUAGUCUUAUCUUAAGUCUUAACUGAAUCAUCUUUUUUACACAGUUUUCCUCUUUUUUUUGAAUGAUAUGUCUUUUGCAUCUUCCAGAUUGUGGUGUUCUGAUAUCUUUGAAAUUGUUCCUAAUUUGGUCUUCGAAAAUGAGCAUGUGAUUUCAAAAUUUGAUAUCCUGGAACAUGAUUUACGUCAUUUAGAAUGUUGUCGGCUUUGUUCUCUGACUAGAACACCAAAAUGUCUUCCUCACCAGAGAUCUUUGCUGUGUAUAUUCUUUUUAUUGAAAUCGAGUUUGAUAGUUGUAUUUAAAAUUUACGAGACUUGGCAUCGCCUGUUACUUCUUUUUAGAAUAGGCAUCUUUACUUGGUCAGUGAAACUAGGUUCUACAAGGGCACUUGAUUCCUUUUAGGAUUUAAUGGGCCUGGACCUAGUGAAGUGUUAGCUUGGGCUUUGUUGUUGGAUCCUGAUAUUGUCAUAGCCCAAGCUUGUUCCUGGUGGUGUAGUUUCAGAUCUGUCAUUAACUUGUCCCUAAGCAUGAUAGAGAAGAUAUAAGAAAUUUCAUUUGUAGACUUACUUCUGUAUUUUGCUUCUGUUGAGGGUGAACUGAACCGCGAGCCUAGAUUCUAGAAGUCUCCUUAAUGUAACCACAAAAUUACUUGCUUCGCUGGGCGUGACUGAAAAGUGUAUGUAUCCGUGUAUGGCUGAAAAUUAAAUUUACAGUUUUGACUGCUAUUAAUAAAAUAUGUUUGUUGGGUGCCCAAAAGUUAGCAACAUUGCUUUGGAUCUACAAUGGAGGCCAUAGAAAGUGAAGUAGACUUAAGGUACUGCCAAACUGAAAGUCAGAGAUGCAUUGGGGCCAUUUAAAUAGUUUUUGAAUGCACAUGUUCAACACCUUGAGUUUUGCAAAAGAAAGCGUUAUAAUGUUUUGAAAAGGUGCUGGUUCUAUCUCAGCCAAUUAUUGUAGAGAUGCUUCUUCUCGUGUUGAAAUUCUGUUGGCAAGUAAUUUGUGGUUUCUAUGUGCUGUGGUGAGACUUGGUGUGUGACUAGCAUUGCUGUUAUGUACCUGAAAUUUAUAUGGAUUUCCACCCUAACUUUGGGGAGGGAACAGCGUCUCUAUCGUGCUUGUUAGGGUAAACCUUACUGAAUCUUGAUUAUAAUAAAAGGUUCGUUAUGCCGUGUUACAGGUGGUUCCUAAACGGUGGAAGCACUGAGCUUUGAUCAAUAACAAGGUGGAGCAACUUUUCAUCAAGUGGAUGGAGCUAUGUGUGGUAAAGCCUCAGCUAUAGUUCGCCUAGUAAAUGUUCUCCUUUUGGUUGAGUUAACAUCAGAUCUUUAGGGAAGGCACUCCCUUCCUGUUAGUGCCUAGAGCUGAUUUGAUUUGGUGUUGAAAACUGCAUGCUUCCUUAUCGUGAAGAACCAUGUUGCUAAAACAAACAAAGUUUGUUAUUCCUCUGUGGUGCUGUGGGCACUCUCUAGUCACUAGCUGUUGCCGGCUUGGUCAUACAUGCUACACACAUGGACAAAUUUUUAUCCUGGUAUGGGCUCUCUUUUUACCUUUUCUGUAUGCUAUUAUGCUACUGCUUAGCUAGGGCAAGAUUGCAUGCAUCGUCUCCAUGAAUGACUUUGGUGGCCAGUCACAAUCUAAUUCCCAGAUGGUGCCUGCCUUGAUUUGCACUUGUUGGCCUGUUUUCCCAAUCCUCUGCCUCUGCAUCUGCACUGGGAGUUGUAGUUGGUCUGAUGUGCCCUGAGCUGCAAGUUGGACAGUCUUGUGAGUUGUGAGCCUGCACGUAGGCUGCCGCUGAUGCAACCUGCUGCCACUUUGCUUGCUCUCUGGGCUGAUGCCCACUACACGAGCCAAAGCAAAGGAGGAAGUGCCAUGCAUGCAAGCUGUCUAAUUCAUGGGAAGAAAAGUGACGCAUACAUUUCUUCCUAUGCAACUUUUUUGCAUGUGAUGGAAGGAAACAGAGAUAUUGAGAUAGCGCUGCGGCGUUCCAGAACCUGAAUCUCCCAGGUGUGCUGACUAUGACUUGAGCAGUUUGAUUAGAAGACUAGUAUUGAACUACUGAUGCACUUGUCGAUUAGGAUGAAAACAUGUUACUUUUCCAAUAAAAAAGCAUGUCAGUUUUGUUAUCUGGAUGACAUGUAAGUUUAUUUGUAGACUAAUCUUCUCAUUACCUCUAUUAACUUUGCUUGUUUUUGAAGCCAGAUGCUAGUGGAGUUGAAGUUUUUCCUGUUGACUUUCCACACGUAGAACAACAGAGCGCCCAGGUUUUCUGCAGCAUGUCAGGUGUAGGCCUAAUCGCACCACAACACCAAACAAUUUAGAUUUACAGUUUUUGUCAGUUUCAUCUGUCCAUUGUCAUAACCAUGAAAAGGAGAUGCAUGUAUGCAGGAAGCUGCCUGAGCUAGCUAGACCUGAGCAGGACGACACUACAGAUAACAUUUGAACUGAAGCUUCAGGCUCAAAUGUUUCCCAGAUCUGGGGCGACCAUGAAUGCCAGAUGGAGACCAUCGGCAUGGCUCCUAAUCUUCUUGCUCAUAUUCGGUAUGGCUGUACUGGUUGUUUGGUGAGAUGAGUCCAAAAGGAGCUUCGAAAUAACCGAGCAGGAUGAGAGAAUUGACGGUUCAGACCAGUGAUCUUUGCUUCUUCUGUGUCCAGCCAAGCUACUGAGCACGCCAAGCAGAUGCAUGCAGGUAACCUCCUUUCAGAAGAACUAAAACAGCAACAACUCCAGGUACUCUAACCUGUGUAACUAUGAUCUAAUAAUAAGCACCAUUUUCCUUGCUGAAAUCCUGCACUUAUCCUACUGCAGCGGUGCACACUUGAUUUUCUGGCAGUGGCGAGCGUUAGGUGCUGUGGCGAGCAGAGCAAAGAGGGAAGGUGAUUCUGAUGCCCAGCUAGAAUCCUAGUACUAAUCUUCUAGUUUCUUACUGGCGUGAUGGGGUGUUAGGUUAGGUGCUGGUAAUGCAGAUUAGAUGCCGGAUCUCCGACGGCAAUGGCAACGGCGAUGGAUCAUGAUUGAGCCGCUGACCUCUAACAUUGCAAUGCAAAGCCGGGUUUGGAGUGGAUGGAUAGAGAAUCCUCGCCUUUUCCACCUUUGCCAUGCACGAGUUAGGCCGUUAGCGCGCAUGAUCAUGCCUCGUAGGCCAUGCACGCCGGCCCAAGCGUGGCAUGAUGCCAUCCUGAUGGCAAAACUUUGUCACAACUCCACGAGCCGACUAAAUCUGAUAUAACUAGAGUUAGUGAAAACUCGUGUGGUCUGUUUCUUUAAGUUGCUGUUGUUGUUUGUAUGUUGGUCGUGUUGUUUUUGGUGCAUAAAGUAGAGAUUUGAAGCUUUUGUUUUGGGCUAAGAAUGCCAGUCAAAACGGCAAGUACGAACAAAAGAAAUAAAUACUAGUUCCUCUAACAAAAGGAGAGCAAAUAAGUACUAACAAAAGGAGUACCUAAUAUUGGAUGCAUGGUAAUCAUCGCAUGGAGAUGGAAUGGAACUAUUUGAAGAGACAGUACGUACUGCAGUUUAUAAGUUCAAUAUAUGCUUUAAGAUGGUCGAUCUUCCCAGCUCAAACUACUCGAUUGAAGUACCCCACGGAAUAUAUAGCUUAAGAGGUCAAUCUAGCAGAUACGGCUUUAAUUAUGAUCACAAAAAUUCAGUGAACUGAUCAACUCUGAAUUGGAGAUACGCCUUUUUCCCCGCAAAAAAAAAAACUCUGAAUUGGAGAUGCUAGAAAAAUUAUAUGAACUGAUCAACUCUGAAUUGUUGCUUUAAAAAAAUCAACUCUGAAUUGGGGAAGAAAAAUCUGCCACUGGAAAGUGCGGACUUAAUUGUACGAAGUGGAGCAGACCUUUAUUUUUAAUCUCACCCAAGUUCAUUACAUUACAAUAUAUAUAAAAGCAAAUCCCUACGGCUUUGGAGCAAGCCAUGGCUCAUGCAUGCAUGCAAAAGUUAAUUAAAAAUGAAGCAAAGCAUGCAGCAUAACACCACCACGCACACAAAACUGCAAAAGAAACACCAAAACCAUACUAUCCAUAGCCUGAUAGCUAGAGCGCCAGUUAGUGUUGUCUCGUGCGAAGUCCAAAUCAGCUCUCCGGACCUCCCCACUUCCGUGAGGGAACAGAAAGGAGGACAAAAAGACGAGCAAGGAAUUAGAGGACAGCAACGGCACUUUGCACUGUUGUUCACAAUUUUGCACGUACGUACGUCGUUAGUCUUUGCCGACGAUCAGAUAUGAGGUUCCCUUUGAUAUCAUUUGCCUCAUCCCAAACUCCACCAAGAAAUCAAUACAUGCUACCUGCUCCAAUGCCCAUCCGAUCAGUAUCUCGGUGAAAAUAAAAGCUGGUUGUUAUUACGUUGUACUGUCACUGUGAGCUAGCUGUGGCCCGGGGUACGUGUCUCCUGCUACGUGGAACAACGGGACCGAUACAUUCGUGUACGUUGGCGUCGGAAAGGCGGUGUUGACAUGCGACAUGCAUGGAGAACGAUCAACAAAUUAAGCCCACUCACACUGAGGCCAACAAUCAACAACAACAAGUACUCACGAAGAAGAAUAACCCCAUUGAUUAAACUAGGAUCAUGUAAAUAUAUUCGUACGUAUCAAUCACCCCGGUUGAUAUCUUGUCGUUGCUACGUCCUUCCUUCCAUCCGGUCAAUCGACCAGUUAAUAAUCACUCGAGACCGGCCGAAUCGACCCCGGCCACCGCGCAUGAUUACCCACGGAGAAGUUCAUUACCGAGCAGCCGGCCAUGAUUAAUUAAAGUUAUCAAUUAUGCACUACGUACUACCCGCCAUUACUACGAGAGCUAUAGCUUAAUUAGCUAGCUCUAGAAAGCUAUAAUUGCGCGCGCUCUACAAGUGUGCACGAUAUCUAUCUCCACUAACCCAAAGAGCCGGAGCCGAUCGAGGCCGAGAGCGAGAGAUCAUGAUAGCAUUCUCUUCCAUGCAUAUAUGUUCAUUCGUGUGUGUGACAAUUCAGUUUUAACGGUGCCCGCACUAGCUAGCCCAAGUAGCCAGCCUGCAUGAUCAGUGAUUCACUUGAAUUAAUUUUACUGGUGCUGGGCGUCUAGAAGAAGCAUGCAAGCAAGCAAGCUAGAGCCAGAGCGCGCGUGUAGCCGACGGGCAUCUGGAGACGCACCAGGCUGUACAAAUACACAAUCAAUCAACAAACGGAGGUAAUCUGAUCUGAUUGAUAUAUGAUCGCGGCCGCGUGCGCAUGUUGUUGUUUGUUGUUGGCGAAAGGAAAUAAAGAGAAAUAUUCCUCCUGCUUUGGCUUAGUAGCCCCGUUGGGUCCGGCAGCCGUGGGCGUGUUACGCGCUGACGCGGCGGACAAAUAUACCCUGCUGCCGUGACCACGAUGGAUAUGUAAAGCUCGUGUUUGGUCGCUAGCAGCGUGGCCAGCUGCUGCAUCCCCAGCGUGCACUAGUGCCCAUCGAAUCUAUGAGCCAGGACCCGGCUAAUACUACCAGAUCCAUCGUCGUCCCGGCCCGUACGUUGAGUCUAUCUAAUCUACCUGGUCGAGCCGCUGCCAGAUCAAUGCGUAUGUACACCUUUGGCUUUGUGUGUUUGCGUUCCAGCUAGCUAAGCUGAUGAUGAUGCCGUCGGUAAGUAAAAUAAAAUCGCCGCUGGAUUUGAUCGAUGGAACAUGGAUGGAUCGAUCUCCGUCACCCAACGCGACGUAUAUACCGCGGCGGCUUUAUUCGGAAGCUGCUGGCUGCCCUGUGUUUCAACGACAUUCGACAAAGCUAGCUAGCUAGGGUAUGCACAAUGAUGCUCUUUUUAGGUCCAGCUAGUGUGUGUGUGUGUGUGGAAUAUAUGCUCUUUGCAGAGAUCUGAUCAACGCUACUGUCCAAAAUUGCGUGACACCGAUGGAGGCGUCAUGUGUAUUUAAAAUGACGAUUCAAUAAACCGUACUGUCUAAAUUGUUUAUGAGAUGCCGGUCACAAAAGAAUCCCAUUAACAAAUACAUAUAUGCAAGGAAAGAAUAUUUAUUUGUUUUCGAAAUAAAUUGGUAUUUGAAAAAUAUCCAUCAAACAUGCAAGCAGUUUUGUAUGCAUGCAGUAGCUAGCUACUGCGGCCGAGGACUGAUCGAGAUUCUGGUAUUCUACGGAUGCUGAAAUACGCACAUGCAUUACGCAACACACAGGGUCACAUGUCGCAAAUUAAUUAAAUACGCGCAAAGUAAUGCAUAUAUACUUGCGUACGUACACAUCAACCAUGUGUACAUGUACGUGCCGACUACGUAAACCGCGGUCCAAAAUCCCGUCGGUCCCUGAUUGAUCCACGUAACUGCAAUCGAUCUGACCAGCAAAUAUCUUGUAAAUAAUUAAUUAUACUCUGCAAAUUAAGGUCAAAAGCCGUACCCCUUUCGGGUCACUCGACGGUCGAUCGAGCAGAUCGUCCACCGUCCGGCCGGCCGCCGGUUGAAAUGUUGAAUCAUACAUAUCGAUCGCCCCCCUCUAAUUAAGCUGCCCCGGCCUACCUCCUUUAAUUAGUUUCUGGUUUAAAGGAAAAGGUAGAGCUGCCGUGCGUCAAAUCGAGCGAUCAUUAAUUUCUGGUAAAACUUAAGCUAAUCAUGCACACCCCACCACAACGGCCAGAUUAAGAGCACGAGCUAGCUAUAUAUGUAUCGACACGUACGUACCAUUUGAAUCGAUCAAUUAUUAGUCCGGAUUAAAUUGUAGUCGUAACUCUAUACGUCCAACGAUCGAUCUCUAUGUACCUCCUGUCGAUCGAUAAUUAAUCGUCGUUGGCUGCUUCCCCGUCGCCCUUCACGCGAUCCAUCAUCCAUCGACCCAAAGUCGCCCGCCAGACUCACUCAACGUACGAUUGGAUUGGAUUGGAUUGGAUCGAUUUGAUAUGUUUUGUGUUUAAUUAAUUAGACAGUACUAGGGGAGUACUGUAUGUAUGGACAUGCAAUUAAUGGGUCAAGCAAAAAGCAUGAUACUCCUGAACAGAUCGAGAGCAGUAGUAAGAGUAGCAAAUUAAGAACCUUUUCUUUUCGGAGCUGUAACAAGUUUAGAACUGGCUGGCGACAGUUUGUGGUGUGUGUAGGGCCGUUGUGAGGCGAGUGGCACGACACAUCAACGGCAGACUGGCCAUUAACGGGUCGACACAACUCGGGGUUUACCGUCGGUCGUACUAGCUAGCUGACAUGCCAUGCCGUGACAGCGUGAUUAAUCUCUUUGAUUAAUUGUUAAUUCGCUAUGUAUAGAUAGUUUGGUGCAUGCAUGUGCAUUAUCAUAUAGUAGCCAGUUAAUUAGGCUAGCUAAGAAGCUAGUACAGUAAGAUGUAGGACGACGAUGUUGGCCGGAUUAUGGAAGGGCUAUAGCUAGAGAGAGAGGCUGCAGGCUUCCCCAAGAAGAACCCAUGCAUUCAUUCAUGCGUGCAAUCAACUUGCCGACCGAUCUGUAGCUAGCUAGCUAGCUCCAGUAGUAGCAGAGCGUCAUUACUGCUUCAUCAGUACAGUUUGACUUGUAGUAACCGCAAAAGAUCGAAAGAAAUGAACCGAAAAGGUAAUGUUUGACAUGCGAGUCAAAACCCGCGUACGACACCCAGCUAGCACAGAAAAAUCGACCGGCCGAGUGAGGAACCACGUGGCCGGCUCCAAAUCGACGUGGAUGGAGCAAGGCGCACACGUACAGCUUAGCUUAGCUAAAGCUCGCUAGCAGCCUAGCACACGUACGGGCACGGCAGACAGCAUGUUGCCACGGCAGGAAAGGGAUCGAAAGUAAUUAAUCACGGUAAGCAGCGGUACAUAGCUACUCUUUUCGUUUCAUAUUAACUGAUUCAAACUUGUUCAAAUGUACGUGUGUGUAUAUAUCUAAAACAACGUCUACAUACAUACAUGUAAUAUAAAAUCGCUGAAUAUGGGACGGAGGAGGUACAAUUUAAUUAGCCGACAACAGCAACAAGUCCGCUGGAUCAUAUCUCGAUCGUGUUGGCCUCCGCGGCCGCGCGUACGUUUUUGCCGACCGCGGCAAAUUAAAGCUCGGAAUUCGCAUGCAGCGCAGCGACGACUUUGGACUAUUUGGACUUUGGAUAUGCGGCAGAACUCCUGCAGAGACGUACACGUACGGGGCCGCAACCGCAACGGCCGAGACGAGACGGUGCAGCUAGCUAGCAGCCAGGAGGAAGUCGAACGGAAAUUGCCGGGCUAUAUAGCAGCAGUACUACAUGUGCAUGGGGGUCCUGGCUGUGAGCCUGUGACCCUGUCCGGUCCGGGUUCGAUCGAGCCGGCCUAGCUACCUAGCAAAAACACCUUUAACAAAACUAAAAAUUGCAUCAGCUGAAGAUCUUUAAGCAUCUAACUUUAAUAAAAGGCAGAAUAAUUAAGCUGAAACGAAAUCAAUAAUUAAAAUACUCACUAAAAACUAUUCUCUCAAGAAUAAUGAAACGGAGGAUUAAAACUACAUCGAGAGAAAUCUACACAGCUAACAUGCACACAAGGCUGGUACGUCAUGCUGUAAUUCCACGAGCCUCGCUGGGUUCUUAUUGAACGCACGUGUGUGUGUGUGAAGUGAGCUAGCGCCAGAUUUGAGCUUCUUAUGCAUGCCACCCGUGCUUAAUUAACUCCGGCCAACGCUCUCGACAAAAGGGAAAGUUUUCUCCUACACAAAAGGGAGAGGGGAAAGAGACCUAGAAGAGCACAAUUCCAUUAUGUAACUCUCACAAUUCAUUCCCCUUUUUUGCCCCAUCCUUUUAAAUUUGCGAAAACGAUUACCACAUUUAACAGAUUUUCCUCCCGCUUACCCUAUUUAGUGGCACGUACUCAGUAUUUUGGACGUCGAUGAGGCUCGCGACGACCUCUGUGGUGGCCAACUGUUUAAAUGGGGUAAAAUUUGGCACAAGUUUCACUAGAUCGUCUGACUAGUUAAAAGGAUAAAUAUUGUCGGGAUAAUUCACUCUCUUUUUUUAAGACCGGACAGAGUAUAUAUACAUUUAGUUGUUAUUUGGCCACACAAAUACGUCGGCAUUGCAAAGAUCUUGAAUUGGAAACGAGCCGUCAAUUCAUCGCUUAAUUGAUGUACUCUCAAAUGAUCACUGCAAAGCUAUAUAUAGCCUGUAAAAAUCAACCACAACAGUUAAUUCCGGCCACAUCAUCUCUCUUUACACAUAGGGAUCCCUUACACAUAUAGGAGUUUCUACUCAAAUUAACUUCCUUCUGCAGCUGUGGAUAAUCUUUUACAAGAAAAACGCGCAGGAAAGCAUGCAUAAUCAAAACAAAUCUUUCAAAGUAACAAUUGUGAUUUAAUUAGGUAGCAGACAUCAUGUAGCUUGAAAUAUGAAGUCAACACCCGUUGUUCUCCGACGAAGACUUUUAGCUAUCAAUUAUUUCCCAAAGAAAAACCAUUCCUACUAAUUCUAGUCCCCAUCUCGGCUUUUUUGGCUCUCCCGAUGGGAAUAAAGUUAGGAGAUGGACAAAUUUGCACACAGGAUCGAACGCUACAACUGAACUGCAAAACCAUGCACACACACACACGCCCACACACGCAUGCAUUGUUUCUUUCUUCGGAAUUCUUUAUCGUUUUCUAGAACAAGUCAAAAAAGCUUAAAUCAGCACUACUAGAACUAGUCUAGGAACUAAAUAAAAUAUCUCUUGCCCACCUAAUUUACUAUAUCGACGUGCAUAAAUAAUUUUAAAAUCAUCACACGUCGAUCCUCUUUGGUCUUCUACUGUUGCAGUGGUUGUUGCCGCGGUGGUUACGCUAGCGCUGGCCAUGCCGUGCCACCUUGAAUUUUACCUUGAUCGAUCGAAUUCCUGUGUGUGUGUAAUGUUAACGUACGUACCUUGGGCAGUAUAUGUGCGUGCGUGCAUGAUGCAGGAUCAGAUUCAGAUCAGAUUUCAGUUGUGGUUCAGUUUGGGGGAGUGCUUUUCCUGGAGAUUUUUAAGGUCGGGUGUCAUGGCCUCUCCCGAUCGGACGUUUCCCCUUCCUCGAUCGACCGGUUGAUCUCCCCUUCUCUUUAUGCGGAUGUGUAUACACUCCCAUUCCCUAUCGAGCCUAGCUAGCUCGAAUAUCAGUUUCUUCUUCUUCUUCUUCUUGCCUAGCUUGGCGCCGGUCGGCCGGCCGGGGACCACACAUGCACCCUUCUUGUUAAUUAAUUGGCGUUUCACUCUCAAGUUUGGUGGCACUUCCCUACCCUCGCGAAACUAAUCCCACUACCUAUAGCUCUUCUUGCUCUAGCUAGAGCUUAGCUAGCAGUGUCGUCGAUCGUUUAUCGAUGUUCGACGGAUGGCCGAGCAGCUAUAUAUAACCACCCUUGUCUUCCUAGCUUGUUUCCUUGUACCCCAUCACCGGCAGCUUAUUCAUUCCUACUCUCCUUCUUCAUCUAUCUUGAUCAAUGUGGAGCAUUGCAGUCCAGCUACAGUAGUAGUGCCUAGCUAGCUCCUUUCAAUUCUCAUUGUCCCUUUGUUCUCGGACGUUUGUUGGUCGUCUUUGCAGUGGUGUGUACUAGCUCGAUCGAUCAGUGAGUGUUGAAGAUGAGCAUCUCUGUGAACGGGCAGUCGGUGGUGCCGCCGGGGUUCCGGUUCCACCCGACGGAGGAGGAGCUGCUGACCUACUACCUGGCCAAGAAGGUGGCCUCAUGCCGCAUCGACCUCGACGUCAUCCCCGACGUCGACCUCAACAAGCUCGAGCCAUGGGACAUCCAAGGUACAUAAUGCUCCAUCACUAGUACUACUCUUGGAUGAUGCAUCAAUGGCGAUCAAUCGAACUAACCAUAUAUGGACCUGCGUUCCAAUUGAGCAGAGCGUUGUAGGAUCGGGACGGGCCCGCAGAGCGACUGGUACCUGUUCAGCCACAAGGACAAGAAGUACCCGACGGGGACGCGCACGAACCGCGCCACCGCCGCCGGGUUCUGGAAGGCCACGGGCCGGGACAAGCCCAUCUACUCCUCCUCCUCCGGCUCCGGCACCGGCAAGAUCGGCAUGCGCAAGACGCUCGUCUUCUACAAGGGCCGCGCCCCGCACGGUACCAAGUCCGACUGGAUCAUGCACGAGUACCGCCUCCACGACAACGCCCAAAACCACCAUUCAUCCCCCGGCGCCGCCUCCUCUUCACCGGUACGUACGCAAGUACAGUACAUGCAUACAUGGGACUGUAGUAGAGACAGUCGACAGAGGCUAGUGAAGUGAGGAAGAUUGUGUGUGUGUUUCGUCGUGUACACGUCGUGGAUCGAUCGGGGCAAUUUGGUGGGUGGUUGGGAAUGGGGCCAUGCAGCUAGCACGCAUGGUUGUUUAUUUGCGAGAGCUGGGAUUUCCUUUCGACGUCCUUGUCUGAAAAAGGGGGAAAGGGAAGUGCUGUAGCAGUGGGUAGUAGGUUCAGUACUCGUCAAGGAACAAAGCUAGCUGCUGCUGCUGGUUACUGCUAGGCUGGGCCGGGGGCAUAGACAUGAUCAUCGGUGGUUAGGUACGUGCACGGGACAGUCCUGAUAUAUGCCGGGGACUCAUGCAGGCCAAGAAUCUGCGUCUGCACCAACAAGAUCAUGCAUCGAAUUUGCACAUGCCAGAGACCGAACCCCCAUCUCGAUUAGGACACGCACACGAUCUCUUUUCUCGUACUGUACUGAUUGCGGAUAGCUACUGUACAAGCUAGUACGUAUGUGCCACUGUCGAUCACCUGCUACAAAUUAGCAAAGGAUGAGGGUUAAUUGGGGUAUAAAUUAAGUGGACCAUUGCACGCGGAGCUACUGAGCUAGAGACAGAGGCAUGUGGCAGAGAACCCAGCCUCUUUCUGCAAGUCAAACGCUACAUGGAUCCAAAGUGGAUCGGGAAUUGGCUAGCUUAGCUUUCUGAGCUGGCUCAGCUGCUACCUCGAUCAUGCAUGCAUGCAUGGUGGGAAAUUUCUCUCCUAGUAGUGGAGGGGAUGCAUGGACAUGCAUGCAUGCAAUAAUUCUGGCUAGUUUUGGAUGCUUCCUAAAUCACCUUUCACUAGGACCUUUUUUUUUUCUUCCCUCGGUCCAUUGGCAAAUAGCAAAUCCAUCGAUGGUCGAGGUAAUAAUUUUGUGAAGAGACCAGUGUAAAGCUAGCUGAGUCAUUUCAUAUCUGUUACUCAUUUACCCUUCGAUUAUUGCGUUACACACGUCCACGCCCAAAAGCUGACGCGGACAAAGGUAGCUAGCUAGGCAAGAUAUUUCAACGUCAAAUUGAUGUGCCAAUUAGUAACAUUUUUAAAUGAGAAUUAAGAAUUGCAACUUAUGUUUUUUUUUUCUCCUCUCCCUCUGAUGAACAGAUUCGUGGGGGCGACCAGUCGGCGGCGCAGCAGGAGGAAGGUUGGGUGAUCUGCAGGGUCUUCAAGAAGAAGAACCUCAUCUGCUGCAACAACAACAACAAUCAAGCUCUAGCUUCCCAUCCCCAGAUCAGCAGCAACAACAACAAGCAGCCCUCGCCGAGCCGCAGCUGUUCCGCCGUCAGCGACGACCACCACGCCGCAAGCAGGGCGGCGGCGGCGCAGAUGCUGCAUCACUACUCCGCCGGCGGCAGCGGCGACGUCGACACGCACACGCUCGACCACAUCCUCCGCUACAUGGGCAGCAACAGCGGCAAGCAGGAGAGCAAGCCGGCGCCGCUGACGUCAGCUUGCAGUUUGCCAAAUAUGGACCAGUAUAGCCUCGUCAACGGCGGCGGCGGCGGCACUCUGUACGACAAGUUCAUGAAGCUCCCGCCGCUCGAGCACGUCGUCGUCUCCGGCUCCGGCGGGGGGCUCCUGCAGCUCCCUCCGCCUACGCCGCAAGGCUCGCAGUACGGAGGCGCCGACUGCUGGGCCGACACGCUCGCGGCGUACGAGCUCAACGGCGGCCUAUCCGACAACGACGUCGACGGGUCGACCAAGACCACCAACGGCGGCAUGUCGACGCCCGGCUGCUUCUUCGUGGCCGAACAGCAUCAUCAGCACGGCCAUGGCGGCGGCGGCGACGGAGACCUGUGGAGCCUGGCGCGGUCGUCGGUGUCGACGCUGCACGCGGACUUGGCGACGGCCAUGGAUAACGUCUAGCUAGCGCGCAGCAGUCAGUUAAUUAUUAGCUCUUGUCUAGUGUGUAUUGAGAGAGUGUGAGACGUCAUAUGCCACACGCACGUACGUACAUCGAUCAAACUCUAUACGUGUAGUGUGUGCAUGCAUGCACGGUGUUCGACUGUGUACUGACGUGCGGUGAAUAAUUCCUAGGGUGAAAGACAGACAAAAACCGAUCGACGAUCGGGGUUAGCUAUUAAUGAUGUGAAACAAGAUUAAAGAUUAAUCAAACAACGGCUUGUACAUGGUAUAGUAGGAGAAGAGCAGAUAUGAAUAUACACUCUAUAAGCCACCGUUUUGCUAUUUCUAAGGUGACUAAGAAAUAAAUAUUUCUAAGUCGAUUCUAACAAACCAUAUAAUACAUUCGUUGAGAUUCUUGCAUGAACCAUCAAGUACAUAAGAUGAGAAAUCUUAAUCAGAUGACUAUGAUUAUCGACUGGGAAAUAACUAUUUCUAAGCCGACCAAGAAAUAAACACCCCCUUAUUUUAAACCAUGGUGCUUACUGUUGAUCAGCAAUAUCGAUAUUUCAAUUGUAUUUCAAAAAGCUAGGGUGAUGCAUGUUGCACCCUAGCGCGGAGGCAGGUGAGAAGAAGGAAAAAUCGACAAUGCCAAGGCCAGCAUGAUCCAUGGGGUGCUUCAUGCCUAAUUAGUAAGCACCCCGGCGACCUUAGAGGAAUGCUUGAUCAGGGCACAUUGAUGGACGAAGGUGGAAAAUCGAGUAGGGCACAGCGUUGGCAUGGGAGCAGGAGGAAGGGAAGAGACACAACGACGAUGAUCUGAAAUGAGGUAAGUAUGACACGGUGAGGAAGGAGAAAGGGUAAGCCAUGGUCGAAAAUGGCAUAUGAAUGAGCACGAAGUUUGAAAUUUCGUUUUGGACAAAAUUUUGGUACCAACCAAAGUAUUCUAAAAUUUUAGAAACACCCAGAUUCUGGAACUUUAAAUUCCACCGAAAAGCUAUCAAGGUUUUAGCAGACACAUGGAUUUGCUAAGCAUAAGUACGUGUUACACGAGCUAAUUACUGAGUUCUCAUUCAAAAAAGAAAAGGAGCAUGGACACACAAAACUUUAAACUGCAGUAUUAUUUAUUUUAUUUUAUUUUGCGAAGAAGCAGUAAAAGUUUUUUACCCAAUGGCUCAAAUUUUGGGGCCACGGAUAUGAGCAAAAUUUCGGAAAUAGCACCAAAAUUUCAUUAAAAAAUUAGACCCUCCAGAGCAUUCACGCCCUAAUCUAGCCCCUUCUUAAAAAAUUGGGGAUGAACUUUGGAUGGAUUGAGAUUGCUAAUGUGUAUAGAUCCCGAUCGUGUGUCGCGACAAGAGGGAAUUAGUUGAGAGAAGGAAGAAAGGCACAUGUCUUUUGGCGUCUCCAGCUGUUUUGUGUGUCGAUACACAUAUAUUCGGAGCUAGCAAAAGAAGGGGAGAUCGUCAGAUCGAUGUGAAGUCAGACCAUCAAGCACUGCUUUUAGCUAUAUCUAUGUAUACAUAUAUAAAUCUCGCUACCGUCGCGCGUUGAAAUAACCCCGGCCUCGUGCCACACGUACAAGUGAUCGAGCUUUUUUAUCGCCUUGUCGCGGUCAGUUGCUGGUGUAAAAAAAUCCUGCACGAUCUUGGUUUUGUCUCCUGUCGACAACUUUAGCUGCCCAGCCUUUUGUAUGUACCAAGAAUAUCGACUGAGAGCCUGUCACGUGUACCAUGCAUAAUUGCAUAUUUUUAUGUGCUCAUUUAUCGGGGUAUAUAUGUUGCUAUAAUUAAUGGCAUUUUUUUAUGCAUGCAUGGGAGAAUUUGGUGAUAGUGGCAUGCAUUUUGCUGACAUGCAUGCAUGCAUGGUGGAGUUAGUGAUGAAUUCACUGAGGAAUGAUGUAAUGAACCAUCUCUAAAAAUAACCCAGCUAAACUAAGAGCAUGUAAUUUUUAUUUUAUUUAUUUUGUCGGCGAGACAUGCGUGUAAUUAGAACUUUGGGGAGGAGUAUCGAAAUUGUAGGUAAAAGAGUGACAUAUACCAACCAAAAGGCUUGUGUUUGUAUUUUCUUUUUGCAUCGAAGAAGCUUCUUUUCAGUGGACAGACAAAGACUCCCGCCAUCAGUCCCUACAUGAUAAUUAAUUAUGAAUAUCCUCUUGCAUGUACUCUUUCCUAGAUAUUAUCUUUUUCGAGUACAUACUUCUUCGGUUUUCAAGGAAGUAUUUUGACCUAUAUAUACUUCUUCGGUUUUCAAGGAAGUAUUUUGACAAAUACUUGACCCAGCGGUCCCAGCUGGAAGGAAAAAGGUAAAAUAAAGUAAAAUAGAUCCAUUACACAUUUCGGACGAGACCAAGUUGCUGGUAAGGUGAAAACGUAUGCUGAACCUUUUUGUUAGUUUCGUGUUAGUGCUAAUCUAUCAGAGAACGAUCGAAUAGACACAUGCUGCAUCAACCACACAUGCAUGUCAUUGGAAUAUAGCUCAACCUCCGUGCUCAUAUGUAUACUACUCCGUACAAUUAUUAUUCGAAGACUUUAUUCGCAAGGUGCCAAAAGAUAAAAAAAAAACACAGCCUUAUUAACCCCUCCCUUUUUACGUUCAGCUUCAACCUUCUAAGUUCUAACGGGAAGCGCUUCCAUGCGGAUGCGGUCACUCGUCUGCGCUCACUGUAGUACAGUACAGAGUAGUAAGCACUAUUUGAACACGAGACUCUCAUAUUUUUUUUACUAGAUAGACUUUUAAAAACAAUUUUUUUUUUGCGUGAGACUUUUAAAAACAAUUUGACGAGGGGUAUCAAACAGGUUGCCAAAAACAUUUCUUUUUGAGAAACUUGGAAGGUAUAGGAAAUCUACGAUUCACAACAAUGACAACAACAAAGAUUUGGCCGUUUUCUUUUUUUUCUUUUCUUUUGUCGAGAUAGGGAUGGGCUUUGCCAGUUGCCGGGCCGACGGGCCUAGUGAGCGCUCAAAGUCGGAAACGCGCGGCGUGGGCAGGCCGCCGAGUCGCUAUGGCUUCUUCAGCCCGACCGGAACUUUAGUGUGCUUUGGGUUCCGGAGUAACGCACAAAUCGGUCUGGGGGCCCGACAAGAGAAGAGGCUCGCACUCCGACCCGCUCCCCCGCUUCCGACUCAGACACGAACACCAGCUUCUGUCCCCAACAUUAUAGAUACCGGCGUCGAUUAUGUGGUAGCAUUGUUUCGAUCUCGAUCGAGGUCUCCUCGAUCGUUCGAUCUAGCAAGGAAGGAAGCGAUCGAGAGCCCGGUCAAUUAAGCAGAUGGCCUCUUGCAUGGAGAGGUUCGUGGCCACGAUGGUCUUCUGCGAGGCGCCCUUCGACGGCCCCCUGCUGGCCCCGGCGGUGCCCGCCGCCGGCCACGACAGCAAGAGCGGCGGCAACGGCUGCUGCUCGGAGUUGGCGACUUUCAUGGCGGCGGCCAAGGAAACCGCCAGGCAGUACCUCCCUUCCAAGCAAGAGCAGCAGCAGCGGCAGGGGGGCGUGGAUGGCCUGGCGGAGUUCCUCGAUGCCGUCGUUUCGGAGUGAUUCAUCAGGAGGUUGCAGUUGCGGUUUGGGUGUCCCAACUUUUUUGUUGAUCUUUUUCUUCUUUUUUUUCUGCGAAUAACGUUUUGUUGAUCUGUAGGAACAGCUCCGCUAAAGCUUGAUUCGUACGGAGUACUAUGUGAUUUGUUUUCCUGACCAUGAACUAAGUGUAAUACAAUCGUUCCAUGUUAAGCUAGAAUUAUAUUUUCCAUGAGGUGCCAGCGUUCGUUUUAUUUAUUUUUUAGAGCAACAAUCUGGCUUUAUUGAUUCAAGAGACAAAAUAUAAAAGAUAUAUACACGAACUAACACAAAAAACGCAGAUACUCAACAAAACUAAAAACUUCAUUGCAGUCACUCGAAGUAAACUUCUCUUAAUCAAUCUUUCGCAGCUUGAUGCUUCCUCCACGUAUUCGUCGACAGAAAUGCAGAAUAUCAUUUUCUUGUAGUUCAGCUUGUUUUAGGGUGAUCUUGUUUUGGGGAAACGGGCCGCUUUUCUUCUUUUUUGAGAAACGGGGUGUUUUGUUUAUUAGCCCAUGAGCAUUAGGAGAAAAAACGACGUGUGACUUGCUGGGCCAUCCUACCCAGCCCACAUCUUGUUCGUAACCUUAUCGUCUUUUCCUAGAAGUAUUCCCCCCAAAAAAACAAUCGUCUUUUCCUGGAAGCUAUCCUAACCCGGCAACUAGAGACCAGGCCUAAUUCCGAGUUUUAUCUGAAGCCCUGCCCGUCAAUUGGGCCUGGCCCUUUAGGCCCAACGUGACAAGAAAGUAUUUGGUGACUCGUGACCGUAUGUUUAUUUCAGUCCCAUCCUCCUCUUUCUUGAGUAAUCCACGUCCUCCUUCUCAUGCCACAUUGCCACGCCACUGCAAAUUCGAACCACGGCCGGGCGCACGGACUCGCUCGCUUGGUGAACAACGGCAUUGGUGUCUUCUCGAAGACCACUCGGUAGUAAGCAUGUCCUCCCAAAGCUCUCGCUGACCAACCACUCAGAUCAUCAGGGCCGGAUGGAUGGACACGAAGAGCUAGCUGAUCAGUGUUUACCAUCAUACUACUGCUCGCUAUCAUUCAUUCGAUCUCAAUCGUCCGGGUCUUUGGGGAUAAGUUGGGAUGGAACCAGUGAGGUACGAUGAUAAAGUACUAGGAUAGGAUCAUAGGAAUGAUACAUCGCUCCUAGCUUGUUCCGGGUUCGGUGAGUAACCGACCAUUUUCGCAGAAUUAAUUUUUCAGAGGCACGCAGAGGAGUUAGACAGCGAUCGAGUUCGGUAGUUAGUGCUACUAUGUAUGAUAUCACUAUAACAGGGGGAGAUUAAAAGGAGGCGAGGGACCGAUGGAAUUAGGUCUAUCGGUUAUCAAGUAGUAGGCCGUAGCUCUUUCCUGGUUCAUUCUUGAGAUAUGUUAAUUAAGAACUGAACGAACCCUUGCACUACGUGAAGCGCACAGCAGCCGCCGCGGAUAAUUUACCUAGUGACGGCAGCAGAAAUUAUACGCGUUGGAAGCUCGUUACGUGGGUGCGUGCGUUAUUCGUCUCAUCUUUUGGAUCGGAUUACGGCAGCUAGCGCGUGCAGCCGUCACCAAAUUUAAUUAGGUUCUUUUUUUCGAAAAGGCCAAGUUCAUAUAUUAAAAUCAACCAACUCUUACAGAACCAUCUUUAAAAAGAAAAAGAAACAAGCAAGUUCUUGUAGGUAAACGUCGUUGUCUUCCUCCUCGCUCGCCGGUGGCGUGCUGUGAGCGAAGCUCGAUGCUGCCUCUGGACUUUCGAACCACGUCGGAGUCAGGAAACCAUUAUUGACGUAGCAGUCAGGAAGUCGCCGGUCGGAGCCAGAAGACGCCGGCAACAGUGAUUUGAGAAGACCAUCCCAGAUCUGGCCAGACAGAUCCGAGAAGACCUGACUGCACUAAUUCCACGAUGAGGUCGAAGCUGGCCGAGUCUCAUCGAUCGGAAAAGGAACCAAUAAAUCGAUACGCGUAGACGACCUGCAAAGCACAAACACAGAACCAGUCCCACCACUCCAGAAGAGUAGCGACCAACCGUCCCGCACUCCUCAACGCGCCGUCGACGAGGUGGAUGAGGAGUCAGGAAAACCUUAUUAUUGACCCGCGCAGUGCCGCCAUGCAUCACCACCAUAGGUCCAUAGUUAGGCUGCCGAUUAACCAAACCCUAAUUUUUAAAGACAUAAUAAAGCACUAAACAUAGAAGAAGCAGUGAGAUGGUUCCCCGGCCGGCCGGCGGCCGGGACACGAGAUCGAUCUGUAACUGGCGGUGGGUGGCGUCCAGGCCAGGAGCCUUUUUUUUCGUUCGGUUGGAAAAAGACGGGUAUUUAAUUAGGUUCUUGCCAUGCGCUAGCUAAGCUUCAAACAUGAAACAGAGCUAAGAUGUUUUAGAUAUUACUUUUUCAUAGAAAGAACAAAAGCAAGUAUCUUGCUUUCUUCCGUGUAAACCGGCCUUCGUCGAAAUGCCACUCCCCGUUCCACGGACAUGGUAUCUCAUAGGCGCUGCUCGUGUGCACUCUUCUGUUUGUUUAUGUCUGCAGGCACGGAAAAUCGGCUAAAGCGAAGAUUUCGGGGGACCACACAGAAGCCUCCCCUGGGACUAAAAACUGAAGAGAAAGAGCGUUGCAGCAUUGGAAGGAUGCGGUGCCGGGUGUUACCGGGCACGCCUGCCUGGUGCGUCGUCGAUCCAGCCAGUCGCUGGCAGAUCCCAGCAGUCAAAUGUGAAGACAUAUGCAGCGCUGCACGCGCGGAUGGCCGGCAUCAGGGCUAUCGGCAAUAGAGGAUCAGUAGCUUGAGGACGUGGUACGUUUGAAACUAUGAACGCAUACAUUGCAACCUAGCUGCGGGGAAUUGAAAGAAAGAGACGGGAGAGGAAACUUGGGGUCCAGGGCAGCGGAUCGAUCGAUUGCACAUCUCCCUGCCUGCGUACCGGGCUGCCCCGGGUGGCACCUUCUCUGCACGACCACGUACCUCUAUCUAGGCCGUAACUCGGCCAGGCCGGCAGGCCAGGGCGGGAUCUAGAUGCUAGAGGAGAGGAUGCAAUCGAUCGAGAGACACACAUCGUACGGGCACAUCUAUGGAAGCUAUAGAUCGGUAUCGUGCACACACACUGCAGACAUAGCACGCCUUGGUUCAUCUAGAAAGUCUUAAUUUUACAACGACGAGGGCGAGGGCGACGACGGAACAAUUGACGACCACAUAGCAGAAAGGAUGGUCUUCCGAUGCGACGGGUAAAGUUGUCAUUCGCGCGGAACAAAAUGUUACAUCUUCACGGAUCAAAUUCGUCACCUUCAUAGAACUAAAGUUGUCACCGUGCAAGACACACGUGACGCAAUCACAGACAGAGAGUUUUUAUGAUCGGAUGGCCAACGAUGCGUUCGUUAUGGAAGACUAAAGAACGAACGUUCGUUCCAUUAUAAAUUCAGUAUAAUAUGAAUACCUUAAUUUCCCGAUAAAAAGUAUAUUUCCAUUUUGCAUGCCUGGAUUAAUUAGCUAGCUAGCAUCAGUACUGUCCUUCAUAGAUAAGAAGAAGAAAAAGGAGAGCUAAGUAGCUAACGGCACGAUGGUUCAGAUAUAACUAACCGACAGUGUAAUCAACAAGAUGGAUCCAUCGAUCAAAUCAAUUGAGCGACUAACGUGCUAUAUUCCUGCAAAUUACCCGUUUCACUAUCACGCACACAAAACAACACGAUGUUCUCAUCUCCACGUUGCAGUGGUGGCACUCGCUCUGUCCGCGUUAGACACAGACCGCCAGCAGCAGCAGCUUAAUUAAUACUCUUACGUACUAGGUAAAUGACUUGUACCUCUCCAAUUCGUACAUUCACCGGUCACAAGUCACCGGGUCGCUGCUGGACACAUGGACAAUGCUUAGGGGUGCAGCUGGGACGGGCUCGUCCCGCCCGCACAGCCGUAGCCAUACUAUGCGGGAUGCUGGUUGCUGCCCGCGUCUCGCGAGACGUGAUCCCGCUGGGAUAAGUGGGUUCGGCAGUCUCGGCACGUUUGUCCCGCAAAAACCUGCAUGGGUGUUGUACUUUGUUUGCUAAUCGAUAUGCAUGCAGUCCGUCCGCAUUGCUGCUGCGCACUGCUGCUGUGUGAACUCACGGGAGUCCUCUUUCCAUGUCCGCAUCAAUGCCGUGAGGUGCAGUGCCGUUGGGGUACACUUGAUUGCAGAACAUAUAGAGCAGAUCUUCAGAUAUAAUUGCAGACCAAAAACAUUGUAGGAAAUGGUUUACAGACAUCAUGUCCUUUCUUUUAAUUUCAAAACAAAAUUGAAGUCUCGCAUGGUUGAAUGGAACGGAGAGAGUACUGAUUUUACCCAACGUCUAUAUAUAAAAACACUCAGAUUACAAGAACCUCAGCGGGGACAAAUCUAUAAGCUCUAAUCAAAACACUCCAUAAAAGAAAAUAUAAGUGCAGAUGAAGUUAAUGAAUCAAUUUUACCCCGCAGCUGCUAUGUCAAUUUGGUCCCAGAUUGUGAGGAGAGAAGGGGGGGAUAUGUACCAUAAAGAGCCGAGAGCUGAGGUUGAACACCAGAGCAGUCGCGGACGAGGAUGGGGAGUGCCAGGUUCAAGGCUUCAAGUGCGCGCGAGCAGCAGCACCAAGAAAUCGAGAUGAACAGGAUUGGGGAGAGGUCGGGAGAGUGCUAGACCAAGACAGAUGUCCAGCGGGACGUGCGGGUAUCCCGCUGGACUAAACAGGCCGGCCCAGUUACGUCUAUACGGGAUAUGCGGGCUCGUCCCGUUACAACUAAACGUGCGAAGUUCACGGGACGGGACGGGGCACAAACGCCAGACCCGUCCCACUUGCACCCCUAACAAUGCUACAGUGCUUGCAGAAACAGUCGUCGCUCGCUGCUAACCUAGGAUCUCUAUUUGAGGACCGCCGAUACGCCCGAUCGAUCGAAAUCGAGUCACGUACGUAGUCCACCAGAAAAAUAAAAUCUGCAACAAAAUAUUUGCGGACUCGUCGGCCUCGUAUCAACGCCGGAACAAUCCCCGGCUGGAGACGGCAGGAGCCAAAACCAUCUUCCUCCCACGUCGUGUCCCCGUUUCCCUCUGUCUCCAUCCCGAUCCACGCCAGCAACCGGUAGAUUUUUCGGCUUUUACUUUUGGGCAGUCUUCGGAUACGUCGAGCGAACGUGGGGUCGGCCUGGGUCCCUGCCUGCAGCCACGCGGCGUCUCGACGCGGUCCUUCCGCGGUCCGAUCUUGUCGUUGGAUUGGAUUGACCCCCUCGCAUUCGCAUCACGGCUGACGCAGGCCAUUUUCACCCGCGCGGAUUGUUUUUUUUGACGGGACCCGCGCGGAAAUUGGACCUUUGUGCUUGUGUAGGAACUGUCUGUCAAUGGGCUCGAAGCCCGUUAACAUAAAAAGGCCCCUCCCUGUACGUGCUGAACCUCCCUGCCUGCGGGGAGAACAAGACAAGACAGCGAUCGAGUUGGGUAUAUCCAGAGGAAACAAAGAAGGUGAGAAUUAGGUAUCGGUUCUCGGUUCUCAAUUGCUCGAGUUGAUACUUGAUAUACGUAGUAACUGGAGCACACGACGAAGCUACAGCUAUUUCCUGGCUCAUUCCUGAGAGAUGUUAACGAACACAAGAAACCAAAAAAUCCACGCAGUCCUGAACCAACACCUCCACUCAGCUCGAACGCACUGCAGCAGCCGCCGCCGCGAAUUAUACAGAGAACAUGCCUGCCUAGUGACAGCAACAGGUAUAUAUCAUAGUCGUGGGUGCGCGCGUGUCAGCUAGCCCUUUUAGGAUAGAUAGGUUUACAUGCAUCCGUCACCAAGCUUUUUUGUCAGAUGAGCUAAUCAGCCUCUUGGUUUUCUUUUCCCCCCACUCCGUGGAAACGAACAUUUUCAUAAUAGCGCUAGUACUGUAUUAAGCAGUGAUCGAUGGUGUCAACUAAAGUGAUCUGGUCGUAUAUAAAUUCGUGAGGAAUAAUUAUACAUUUAUACUCGUAGCUCGGACAGUCGGACUAAAGGGGUACAGUUGCAGCUAGUGUUAGUCAGCAAUUUCAAAACCAAGCAGCUUUUACUUGUUUGAAACAAGUGUCGUAGUAUUGGAAGGACUUGGCGCGGGGUUGUGCCCGGGCACAUCUCCCUGGUGCGUCGUCGAUCCAGUCGUUGCCGGGCACGGGGUGAAACCGGACAAACAAAUCUGUCAGUGUAUCAGCUAACGAUACGACAGUACGUAGACUGUUUUCCCCCCUCCAAAAAAGAGGCAGAGGACUUGCUAUAGACGCCUUACGCUCAGAGGGCAACAGUUAACGCAUACAUAGCUAUUCUGUACGACAUGCUCCUGAUCACUCAAACACAAAUGCCAGACAUAGCUAUUCUGACCGACGAAAAUAGCAUGAUGCGUUGUCAACUUGUUAUUUGGCGCGAGGACUUGCUCCUGAUCAGGACAGGCGAUCCACGUACGUUAGGGAUCAAUCGAAGAUCCUGAUCACGAAAACGUGACCUCUCGAUCGGGGGGAACAUCAUGCUCACAGGCCAGUCGCGGCUGCCCCGGGUCGCGCCCUCCCCGCGCCAAACCCCGUCCGGACAACCUUUGCAAAGGUCCAUCCAUCCAUCAGCGAGGUGUAUGUUAUGGCUGGCUCUCUCUGCUCCAAUGGAUUCAGAACCAGGCCCGUCACGACUCACAAGUCAUCGGAGUAACCGCUGGAGAGAAUAAUGUAUGCAGUGUAAACCAUCCAGACGAAUAGACGAUCAUCGCUGCUACCGAGAGCCUGCAUCGCGACCGAUCGCCAUAGGAGCCAGAUCGAGUAAUAACUCCACCUACGACCACGAGAAAUCUCGACCGAUAUUUCCGGACUCGGCAGACUCGUAUCAACGCGGGAACAUACAAUUCAUCCCGGCGGCGAGGACUCCGAUCGGAAGCUAGCGGCGGCGCACGACACGACAGGAGCCAGAGCAUCGACUUCCUCCUCCGUCCAAGAGCAACGGCAGUAGAUUCGGUUUAUACUUUUUCGGUGGUCCGGAAUUCCCGGAUGCGUCGGGCGACGGUGGGGCCCUGCCCGGGUCCCGCUUCCUGACACGCGGCAUCUCGACGCGGUCCCGCCGCGGAUCCUUCUCCUUGGAUCUCUUGCUCCCCAUCACGGAAGGCCAUUUUCGCCAGGGACUCACGCGCGCCCCUUUUUCCUUUUGCGAGGCUGCCAAGGUGGGUCCUCCUUUUUAUACGGAGCAUAAAAAUGCCCCGUCUGUCUUUUCGUAUCGGUUGCUUGCUUUGUUCUUUGGCUCUCCGUUGCUUCCGCCGCUCGAUCUCGUCUGGAUGGCGCGCGUUAAUUCGAUCGCGCGGGCACGGACGAACUUUGCGUGUCAAACAGAAAAUAAGACAUGAACUUUGUAAUCGCAGCCUGCAGGUGGUUUUUUUGUUUUUCUUUUCCUCCCGUGCGGAUACGCGUCGAAUAUGUUGACUACCUUUUCUUGUAGCCUGAGUACGCUUCUAGGUGUUUUUUUAACAUACGAAAACAUUGCCUUCGUUUUUUUAAUGAGCUAUACGUGCCAGACACGAGUUUUUCUAAAAAUACAUUGAUAUUACUGUUUUUUUUCCAACAUUGACAUGAACACUUACUAUCAAUAUAUAUGUCAUGGUACACAUUGGAGGCCCUUCAAAGCCGCAUUGUCUAGUUAAGCAUUUCUUUUUGGCAAGGAUACAUUCAGAAUCGACAUCGGUUCUUCGACUUCUGUCUUUCAAUCGACGUAGGACAUGUCAGCCACACAAAGACAGGUGCCAUGAGUUAGGGAAUCAGUGUUCGUUCAUAACUUGGUACACGUCCCCACCAAAAGCUGAUUAUAUGGAAUCAGAGGACGAGCCUGGAACAUCUGCGGUAGUGUCACUUUAAACCCUAUCCUCUCCACCGCCCGCAAAAAUCCAGCAGGAAAUCGCAUCAACCAACCAAUCGGAAUUCUCGUCAGCCGAGGGCAAGAAAGAAGCCGAGAUAGAGUGAGAAAAGGGGAACGAACCAUUUCCCCCGCAAUUCAAAGCUCCUUAUCCCAUUCUCCGUGUGUCACCAAAGAAGAAAAAAAAUGCCUUCGUUUUCCUUCGCCCCUCAAGACGACGAACGGCGCCCAGCGUUGAGCGCGGCCAAAACAUACGAGCGGUGGGGAAGAAAGCGAAACCGUUAGAUAAAUGCUUGGUUCACGCGCACUGGCCACGGUUUACCGACGCCUGGACCCCGCCGGCUCUGGGGCCGCACGAUGCUGUGAUUCUGGGGUGCGUGUGUGUGGUGCGACGCGACCGACCCGGCGGGCGGGGUCGCGAACCCCAGAGGCGCGCAUUGAAGCGCAUACAAAGCCAGGCACAAGUCCGAUCUGGGCUGAACGACCGACGGGCCCAGCGGCAGCGCAACGGAACAAGGGAGGGAUCAAAGAACGUGAGUGAGGGGGCUUUUGAAUGAACGGAGGGAUUCAACAACCACCACUCGAGUGAGUCAUGUGCCUCGUGACUGUGAGAGUCUGUGCGCGCGGGCCGGAGAGAGAACCAAAGCCAACAAAGGGGAUGGGUCGCAAUUAACGGGUCCUGUCCACGACCCAACCAAAGCCAACAACCGCCACGCAAGUCAGGAGGAGCCACGAGGGUGCUUCUUCUGCCCCUUGGUUUUUCAACCACGACCUCCCGGAGCGUCUGACGCGUGGGGCCACGGCGGCCGGGGGUCAAACCGCACCUACUACGGCUUUGCCAAAUUGCCAUUUCGCGCUCCGGCGCCAGCCAGCCAAAGAGGAAGACGGGAGACACUAGCUUACGCUUUCGCGGACGCCACCAACACAGAACAAAUUGGGCCCCACGGGCCGGGGCAGCGGGCCUCCUAUAAAAGCGGCGGGGCGCACGGCCGUAACCCUCACAACGGUGACCAAGCGCUCAUCUCCCUCUCCCAUCUCUCGUUUCCAACCGCUCGCUCCGUCCCUCCGAUCAACCAGCCAAAUCCCGAUCGAGGAAGAACACAACGAACAAACCCUAGCGUAGCCGCCGCAGCCGAAGGCUUCCGAAAAUCUCCUUCCUGACCGCCGGCGUGGGGCGACUAGCCUCCACCACCGGCGACGACACCCUCCCCGCCGCGCGCGCCCAACCCGACUGCUCCGUUUGCGGGGGUAGCCGGGGCUCCGGCCUCGGCGGCUUUCUAAGCCCCCUUCCUUACAACAGGAUCCAAAAUCCCGUCCUAGAUUUCUUCUACCUCCCCUUCCAGAACUUCCUCUUUUGGCAUCAGUGAUACGCCGAUCUCGAUUUAUUUUUCUUUCGAUUUCUUUUUCUUCUUCUUCUUGUUGUUCAUCUCGAUCGAAUAGCACCACCGCCGCCUUCAACACCAGAUUUUUUCUGUUCAUUUCGCCUGAUUUUCUUCCGCCGCUAACACCCACCGAGACAUCGUAAACAGAUUUACAGCACAGAGAAACCAGAAAAAAACUUCGCAGCAGUAGCAAACUUUUUUUUUUAUUCUUCUUCUUCC
rnacentral:lncRNA from 1 species